UGGGGAAUUUUGGACAAUUGGGCGAAAGCCUGAUCCAGCAAUGCCGCGUGUGUGAAGAAGGCCUUCGGGUUGUAAAGCACUUUUGUCCGGAAAGAAAUCCUUGGCUCUAAUACAGUCGGGGGAUGACGGUACCGGAAGAAUAAGCACCGGCUAACUACGUGCCAGCAGCCGCGGUAAUACGUAGGGUGCAAGCGUUAAUCGGAAUUACUGGGCGUAAAGCGUGCGCAGGCGGUUUGCUAAGACCGAUGUGAAAUCCCCGGGCUCAACCUGGGAACUGCAUUGGUGACUGGCAGGCUAGAGUAUGGCAGAGGGGGGUAGAAUUCCACGUGUAGCAGUGAAAUGCGUAGAGAUGUGGAGGAAUACCGAUGGCGAAGGCAGCCCCCUGGGCCAAUACUGACGCUCAUGCACGAAAGCGUGGGGAGCAAACAGGAUUAGAUACCCUGGUAGUCCACGCCCUAAAACGAUGUCAACUAGUUGUUGGGGAUUCAUUUCCUUAGUAACGUAGCUAACGCGUGAAGUUGACCGCCUGGGGAGUACGUCGCAAGAUUAAAACUUAAAUGAAUUGACGGGGUCAUAGCUGUUUCCU
rnacentral:rRNA from 1 species